rnacentral:lncRNA from 10 species
CUGGGGCAUUUCAGAGUCUGAUUGGAAAAAAUAACAAAACAAUUAGUUCCUUUUUUAUUUCAGCCCCAAGAGGCUCAGGCUAGCAGAAUACAUGCUCUCGCUUUUUACAUUAACCCGUUAUGUAGGCAAUAUAUCUUGAGAUUCACUGUAGUUAAAAUUUUGAUCCAAGCAUAGUAAGAGAAGAACAGGAUACAUGUAUGCUCCUGCCUUUCAGUUCUCAUCUAUCACUGCUGCCUUUAUCUUUUGGAAUCUUCCCCUCUUUGAGUGGAUUCAUUCCAGAUUCACCACUGAACUCCACAUACCCUGCUGAGAACCACAGAAGAUAACGAAUUAUUCUCACAACCACCACCUUCUCAUGUCUUCCAACUCUUAUCCUGGAGGAAUUCUGCCAUGCCUUCCCCAAUCCCUGAAAGUCUCUGAUGGGGGAAAAGCUCUUCAUGCAAUCCUGUGAAGGAAAACUCAAGAUUUUCAGUGCCCUUCACAAAGGAGAAAUGACAGGAGAGGGUAACAUCAGUGAAUGGGUGGGCCCGCAGCUCCUCUGUAGACACCGAGAAUGUCAAAGAAGAAAUGAAGUUAAUAAAGACCAAUCAGCACUGCAUCAGGCUCAACAACACUGCAGUACUGGUCUUCUGGAAGAACAGUUGCCUCUGCCUUAUCAAGAAGCUGGUGAUGCAGGAAGUCAUCACCACGGGUGUUGCUUCCAUAGCCAAUCUGCACCUGCUAGAUUGCACUGGCCAAUGAAAGAAUGCGUCAUGCACUAUAACCUUUCUCCCCACUUCAAUCAGUUGCCAUUUAAUUCUUGAGAAAAUAUAUCUGAUUGGCAGACUCUAAGUCAUUCCCAGAACCCUAACUGCAAAGGAAUCUUGGAAAUAUGUUUUACUCUCCAGUUUCAGCAAUCCAGGAAUGCACAUCAGAAAGGCGGGAAAAGAUGUUCAGUGCCCUCAUCUAAUCAGUUGAAGUUCUAAAUAGAACAAAAAAGCCAACCUUCCUUCAAGUAAGAGGGAACUCCUGCUUUUACUGCUUGAGCAGUCUUUUCCUGCCUUCAGACUCAGACUAGAACUAUACCAUAGACUGUUCUGCACCUCCAGCUCGCUGACUGCAGAUCUUGGGACUUCUCAACCUCCACAAGCACAGCUGCAUGACCCAAUUUCUUCAAAAAAAAAAUCAGGCUCUCUCUCCCUCUCUCUCUACCCCCCCGCCAACCCCCUCUCUCUCUCUUUUCCAGUUUGUUCUGUUUCUCUGGAGAACUCUGACCAUAUCUGGUAACAUUUAUCAAGUAUUUACAAUGUUCUAAACAUAUUCUAGGAGCUUUUCUGGCAUUAAUUCAUUUAAUCUGAUACUAACACUGAGGCAGGUAAUUAUCCCCAAUUUACUACUGAGAAAACCAAGGCACAGUGGGUGAAGUAAGUUACUCAAGGAUACACAGCUAGUGAGCAGUAGAGCUGUCAUUCAAUGCUAGGCAGUCUGACUCCAAAGCUCUCCAACUGAAAUGUGCUCUUUUGUCUCCUAAUAGUAGGCACUGGUUCGAAGUUUGAUGAAUGAAUCAGUGACUAAUUAAAUGAAUUAAUGACUACAAGACAGGCUGGAAAGGAGGCAAAGAGAAAUAACUUGCAUAACCUUUAGAAGGAUUGAUUUGCAAGUAAAAACCUGAAGUGCUUUCUUGCUCAAAUUAUUUUUCUGAAGUGGUUAUCACCAAAAAGCAGUGUUUUAUAAUUUUUGUGGGACUUUAUUUUUGUAAAAUCCUGGUCUGACGAAUUGUAAAUCCAAGUUCUAGUUCUAAGUACCCCCUUACUAAUCAUUUGGCAUCAGGAAAGGCACUUAAUCUCUCUGAGUUAUAGCUUCCUUGUGUAUAAUUAGAAUUAUAACACCUGUCCGAGGUUUUAAUGAAAUACCAUGGGAUCUUACAGACUGUUUUUAUAUGACAUGGCUCGGUCAUUUUCCAGAAGGACAGGAGUAAAGUAGAUGAGUGGACACUUUAGUAAGCUGUUCCCCCACCCCAAUGUCUCUCACAAGAAUAUGUAGUUUACCCAUGAGUGGUCCUUGAUUCUACCUUCUCCAGUUGUACUCAGGAGUUCUUGCUACAGUUGUACCCUUUCUGGCCCAAGGGAAGGGGUCUCAAACUCAGGGAUCCAAAGGCUCUAGCCAAUGCAUCAUGAAACACAACUUCCUGCUGAUGUAACUAGUAUAAAGGACAAUUUCUAACUGAUAUGUCUGCAGAUGGCCCUGCUUGAAUCUGAGUAACUCCUUUGUCUAUUUCAAUCUGUGUUAUUUCUAAACCAUGUGUCUUUAGCUUCCCAAGCCUUAAGAGGCCGAGGCAAAAGCUCAGAAAAAGGUUAAUAAUGUGGGAAAACACUUAGAAAAAUGUAGAAAGAUACUGUCUAACGCAUCUGCCAUGGUACCUAGCACAUAGUAUUAAGUUCUUAAUAUUGCUACAAAAUGUGAGAUUAGAAUCAACAGAUCAUUCUCUUUCUUGCCUACAUACAUACCUAUUCCUUUAUUUGGUUGAGUUUUUCCUAACUAUGAGUGGAUUACCACCUUACUUUUCUUACUGCUCUCCUCUACCCGCACACACACACACACCCCCCAACACCCAGCCCCCCCGCCCUCCUCCCCACCACACACACACACACACACACACACACACACACACAGAAUAAUCAAACAUCAAGAGAAAAGAGCCAGCAAAUGUAACCUGGGUUGACCAGGCCUUGUACUAACUCCUGAGUUGAACUCUGGAGCCUGAGGAUGCCUUCAAGCUGCUGCCACCUUUAAGGGACUGACAGAACUGCUGCAGGUCUCUGGAAGAUGGCAUAAGCCUGAAGACUAUAAAUGUGUUUGAUCACUUUAUGGAGUAGUUAUACAGCCAGAUUUGGGAUACACAGUGUUUUUUUAAAAAACUUUUGCUUAUGGACUUUUGGUUAGCUGAAUCAUAUUAACAUUUCCAACAUCUGUAUAUUGUUUGUCACCAAGAGAGUUGAAGAUUUGAGUACAAAAAGACUUACAUAAACCCUUUGUUGACUGCCCAUCCAGAUUUUUCAGGACAGACCUGAUUUCAAAUAUUUUGGAUGCUACACUAUAAAUUGGCACUUGUCAGAGUCACUUGAAAGUGGGUGUCUAGUAUUGUUUUGUUUGGUUUGGUUGGGAGGUUCACACUAUAGAUACGACUGAGAUUAGUCAUUCAGAUAUGGCUUCAAAUGGACAAACCAAAUUGGGGGGGGUGGGGUGGAAGUUUUUCUCAUUUAAAAAAAGAAAGCAGAAUAAACAAUAAUGAUUUAUAAUAUGUGUCUGUUAUUUUCUCCCAUCUGCUCUUAACCAUUUCCUAUGAAGUAAAUAUAGAUUUUUAAAAUAAAUACAAUUUUUCCUGUAAAAAAUAAAUUUGUUAUUUUCAUAUAACAAAUGAAAAGAAUGAGAUUCAGAGAGAUUAUGUCGUUUAUCUCCAAACAAAUGUUUUCCUCACUAUCCCCAAAGCUAUUUCAUAAAUGCCCACAAAGUUUUUUGAAAAAUGACUCACCUGCACUGUGAAGAAGUAUGUUAACAGUCACCA